UACGUAGGGGGCAAGCGUUGUCCGGAAUUACUGGGCGUAAAGCGUGCGCAGGCGGUUAUGUAAGACAGAUGUGAAAUGCCCGGGCUUAACCUGGGAACUGCAUUUGUGACUGCAUGGCUAGAGUGUGUCAGAGGGGGGUAGAAUUCCACGUGUAGCAGUGAAAUGCGUAGAUAUGUGGAGGAAUACCGAUGGCGAAGGCAGCCCCCUGGGAUAACACUGACGCUCAUGCACGAAAGCGUGGGGAGCAAACAGG
rnacentral:rRNA from 1 species